rnacentral:rRNA from 2 species
AUAAUGGGUCAGCGACUUAUAUUCUGUAGCAAGGUUAACCGAAUAGGGGAGCCGAAGGGAAACCGAGUCUUAACUGGGCGUUAAGUUGCAGGGUAUAGACCCGAAACCCGGUGAUCUAGCCAUGGGCAGGUUGAAGGUUGGGUAACACUAACUGGAGGACCGAACCGACUAAUGUUGAAAAAUUAGCGGAUGACUUGUGGCUGGGGGUGAAAGGCCAAUCAAACCGGGAGAUAGCUGGUUCUCCCCGAAAGCUAUUUAGGUAGCGCCUCGUGAAUUCAUCUCCGGGGGUAGAGCACUGUUUCGGCAAGGGGGUCAUCCCGACUUACCAACCCGAUGCAAACUGCGAAUACCGGAGAAUGUUAUCACGGGAGACACACGGCGGGUGCUAACGUCCGUCGUGAAGAGGGAAACAACCCAGACCGCCAGCUAAGGUCCCAAAGUCAUGGUUAAGUGGGAAACGAUGUGGGAAGGCCCAGACAGCCAGGAUGUUGGCUUAGAAGCAGCCAUCAUUUAAAGAAAGCGUAAUAGCUCACUGGUCGAGUCGGCCUGCGCGGAAGAUGUAACGGGGCUAAACCAUGCACCGAAGCUGCGGCAGCGACGCUUAUGCGUUGUUGGGUAGGGGAGCGUUCUGUAAGCCUGCGAAGGUGUGCUGUGAGGCAUGCUGGAGGUAUCAGAAGUGCGAAUGCUGACAUAAGUAACGAUAAAGCGGGUGAAAAGCCCGCUCGCCGGAAGACCAAGGGUUCCUGUCCAACGUUAAUCGGGGCAGGGUGAGUCGACCCCUAAGGCGAGGCCGAAAGGCGUAGUCGAUGGGAAACAGGUUAAUAUUCCUGUACUUGGUGUUACUGCGAAGGGGGGACGGAGAAGGCUAUGUUGGCCGGGCGACGGUUGUCCCGGUUUAAGCGUGUAGGCUGGU